rnacentral:rRNA from 1 species
UACGAAGGGGACUAGCGUUGUUCGGAAUUACUGGGCGUAAAGCGCGCGUAGGCGGAUCGCUAAGUCAGGGGUGAAAUCCCAGGGCUCAACCCUGGAACUGCCUUUGAUACUGACGAUCUGGAGAUCGGGAGAGGUUGGUGGAAUUCCGAGUGUAGAGGUGAAAUUCGUAGAUAUUAGGAAGAACACCAGUGGCGAAGGCGGCUCACUGGCCCGGUACUGACGCUGAGGCGCGAAAGCGUGGGGAGCAAACAGG